rnacentral:rRNA from 1 species
CUGCGAAUGGCUCAUUAAAUCAGUUAUCGUUUAUUUGAAAGUACCUUACUACUUGGAUAACCGUGGUAAUUCUAGAGCUAAUACAUGCUGAAAACCCCGACUUCGGAAGGGGUGUAUUUAUUAGAUAAAAAACCAAUGCCCUCCGGGGCUCUUUGGUGAUUCAUAAUAACUUCUCGGAUCGCAUGGCCUUGCGCCGGCGACGGUUCAUUCAAAUUUCUGCCCUAUCAACUUUCGAUGGUAAGGUAUUGGCUUACCAUGGUUUCAACGGGUAACGGGGAAUUAGGGUUCGAUUCCGGAGAGGGAGCCUGAGAAACGGCUACCACAUCCAAGGAAGGCAGCAGGCGCGCAAAUUACCCAAUCCCGACACGGGGAGGUAGUGACAAUAAAUACUGAUACAGGGCUCUUUUGGGUCUUGUAAUUGGAAUGAGUACAAUUUAAACCCCUUAACGAGGAACAAUUGGAGGGCAAGUCUGGUGCCAGCAGCCGCGGUAAUUCCAGCUCCAAUAGCGUAUAUUAAAGUUGUUGCAGUUAAAAAGCUCGUAGUUGAACCUUGGGCCUGGCUGGCCGGUCCGCCUCACCGCGUGCACUGGUCCGGCCGGGCCUUCCCUUCUGGAGAACCCCAUGCCCUUCACUGGGUGUGUG